rnacentral:misc_RNA from 1 species
UCAAAGGCGUGCGCCACCACAG